CAGUCGCCACGGUAAUACGUAGGUGGCAAGCGUUGUCCGGAAUUAUUGGGCGUAAAGGGCUCGCAGGUGGUUUCUUAAGUCUGAUGUGAAAGCCCCCGGCUCAACCGGGGAGGGUCAUUGGAAACUGGGAAACUUGAGUGCAGAAGAGGAGAGUGGAAUUCCACGUGUAGCGGUGAAAUGCGUAGAGAUGUGGAGGAACACCAGUGGCGAAGGCGACUCUCUGGUCUGUAACUGACGCUGAGGAGCGAAAGCGUGGGGAGCGAACAGGAUUAGAGACCCCCGUAGUCCCUGUCUCUUAUAC
rnacentral:rRNA from 1 species